rnacentral:rRNA from 1 species
GACGAACGCUGGCGGCGUGCUUAACACAUGCAAGUCGAACGGAAAGGCCCUGCUUUUGUGGGGUGCUCGAGUGGCGAACGGGUGAGUAACACGUGAGUAACCUGCCCUUGACUUUGGGAUAACUUCAGGAAACUGGGGCUAAUACCGGAUAGGAGCUCCUGCUGCAUGGUGGGGGUUGGAAAGUUUCGGCGGUUGGGGAUGGACUCGCGGCUUAUCAGCUUGUUGGUGGGGUAGUGGCUUACCAAGGCUUUGACGGGUAGCCGGCCUGAGAGGGUGACCGGCCACAUUGGGACUGAGAUACGGCCCAGACUCCUACGGGAGGCAGCAGUGGGGAAUAUUGCACAAUGGGCGGAAGCCUGAUGCAGCAACGCCGCGUGCGGGAUGACGGCCUUCGGGUUGUAAACCGCUUUCGCCUGUGACGAAGCGUGAGUGACGGUAAUGGGUAAAGAAGCACCGGCUAACUACGUGCCAGCAGCCGCGGUGAUACGUAGGGUGCGAGCGUUGUCCGGAUUUAUUGGGCGUAAAGGGCUCGUAGGUGGUUGAUCGCGUCGGAAGUGUAAUCUUGGGGCUUAACCCUGAGCGUGCUUUCGAUACGGGUUGACUUGAGGAAGGUAGGGGAGAAUGGAAUUCCUGGUGGAGCGGUGGAAUGCGCAGAUAUCAGGAGGAACACCAGUGGCGAAGGCGGUUCUCUGGGCCUUUCCUGACGCUGAGGAGCGAAAGCGUGGGGAGCGAACAGGCUUAGAUACCCUGGUAGUCCACGCUGUAAACGGUGGGUACUAGGUGUGGGGUCCAUUCCACGGGUUCCGUGCCGUAGCUAACGCUUUAAGUACCCCGCCUGGGGAGUACGGCCGCAAGGCUAAAACUCAAAGGAAUUGACGGGGCCCCGCACAAGCGGCGGAGCAUGCGGAUUAAUUCGAUGCAACGCGUAGAACCUUACCUGGGUUUGACAUGGAUCGGGAGUGCUCAGAGAUGGGUGUGCCUCUUUUGGGGUCGGUUCACAGGUGGUGCAUGGCUGUCGUCAGCUCGUGUCGUGAGAUGUUGGGUUAAGUCCCGCAACGAGCGCAACCCUUGUUCACUGUUGCCAGCACGUUAUGGUGGGGACUCAGUGGAGACCGCCGGGGUCAACUCGGAGGAAGGUGGGGAUGACGUCAAGUCAUCAUGCCCCUUAUGUCCAGGGCUUCACGCAUGCUACAAUGGCUGGUACAGAGAGUGGCGAGCCUGUGAGGGUGAGCGAAUCUCGGAAAGCCGGUCUCAGUUCGGAUUGGGGUCCGCAACUCGACCUCAUGAAGUCGGAGUCGCUAGUAAUCGCAGAUCAGCAACGCUGCGGUGAAUACGUUCCCGGGGCU